rnacentral:tRNA from 3 species
GCACAGUAGCUCAAUGGCUAGAGCCCUCGGUUGUGGUCCGAGUGAUCACGGUUCAAUCCCGUGCUGUUGCC